rnacentral:rRNA from 1 species
AGAGUUUGAUCCUGGCUCAGGAUGAACGCUGGCGGCGUGCCUAACACAUGCAAGUCGAGGGGCAGCGGGGGCGAAGCUUGCUUCGCCUGCCGGCGACCGGCGCACGGGUGAGUAACACGUAUGCGACCUGCCCCCCGCAGGGGGAUAACCGGGAGAAAUCCCGACUAAUACCGCGUAACGCCGCUGGGCUGCAUGGCCCGGCGGCCAAAGGAAGCGAUUCCGGCGGGGGAUGGGCAUGCGGCGCAUUAGCUAGUCGGCGGGGUAACGGCCCACCGAGGCGACGAUGCGUAGGGGUUCUGAGAGGAAGGUCCCCCACACUGGUACUGAGACACGGACCAGACUCCUACGGGAGGCAGCAGUGAGGAAUAUUGGUCAAUGGGCGGGAGCCUGAACCAGCCAAGUCGCGUGAGGGAAGACGGUCCUACGGAUUGUAAACCUCUUUUGCCGGGGAGCAACGGGGUCCUUGCGAGGGCCCGAUGAGAGUACCCGGAGAAAAAGCAUCGGCUAACUCCGUGCCAGCAGCCGCGGUAAUACGGAGGAUGCGAGCGUUAUCCGGAUUUAUUGGGUUUAAAGGGUGCGUAGGCGGGCUGUUAAGUCAGCGGUCAAAUGUCGGGGCUCAACCCCGGCCUGCCGUUGAAACUGGCGGCCUCGAGUGGGCGAGAAGUAUGCGGAAUGCGUGGUGUAGCGGUGAAAUGCAUAGAUAUCACGCAGAACUCCGAUUGCGAAGGCAGCAUACCGGCGCCCGACUGACGCUGAGGCACGAAAGCGUGGGUAUCGAACAGGAUUAGAUACCCUGGUAGUCCACGCAGUAAACGAUGAAUGCUAGCUGUCCGGUUCUACGGGACUGGGUGGCACAGCGAAAGCGUUAAGCAUUCCACCUGGGGAGUACGCCGGCAACGGUGAAACUCAAAGGAAUUGACGGGGGCCCGCACAAGCGGAGGAACAUGUGGUUUAAUUCGAUGAUACGCGAGGAACCUUACCCGGGCUCAAACGCCAAAGGACAGCCGUUGAAAGGCGGCCUCCCUCCGGGGUCUUUGGCGAGGUGCUGCAUGGUUGUCGUCAGCUCGUGCCGUGAGGUGUCGGCUUAAGUGCCAUAACGAGCGCAACCCCCAUCGACAGUUGCUAACGGGUAGAGCCGAGGACUCUGUCGAGACUGCCGGCGCAAGCUGCGAGGAAGGCGGGGAUGACGUCAAAUCAGCACGGCCCUUACGUCCGGGGCGACACACGUGUUACAAUGGCCGGUACAGCGGGAUGCCAGGGCGCGAGCCCGAGCGGAACCCGAAAACCGGUCUCAGUUCGGAUUGGAGUCUGCAACCCGACUCCAUGAAGCUGGAUUCGCUAGUAAUCGCGCAUCAGCCACGGCGCGGUGAAUACGUUCCCGGGCCUUGCACACACCGCCCGUCA